GAGGGCUUGUGCACCCCGGAGAUUAGUCGGGGCACUGUUCCUGGAUACCCGGUGCCAAUAAAAAAAGAUUAUAACCUGUCGGGUAUUAUAGAUAACUGGAUUGAGAGAUGGUUAACACCAUCACCAAACUUUUUUAUGAUACCUUUUGUCUCACUAACAACCAUGUCUUUGAAUGAUGGAGGGAAAGGAAAAGAAUGCCAAAGUGAAACACGUAUUUUCCACAGUAGGUCCUUGCAGAUUUUUCUUGUGCAUCCUAUCUUUUGUACAAUAAAUAUUUUUCCCUAAAAGCACUGGCAGCAAAGUCAUUAUGUGCAGAUAACUGCCUUGAUUUAAAUCUUAUGUGAAGUAACUCAAUCUUAUUGAACUGCAUUUCAAUCAUGCAUACUUAAGGUCUAUUUUUUGGGGGGAGCCCAUCCUUUGGAAAGUUCAUGUCCUCAUAACAGUGACUGGUUUGAACUUGCUGAUGCCUGUGAUUUCUUUUAUUCCACAUGAAUUCACUCCAUCUUCUAAUAUCUGAGGGGAUGUGUUGCUCUACUAUUUUUUGCUCUAAUAUGUUUGAAAUAUUUUUAAUGCAGUAUUUCCAUCCGGAUAAUAUGUCUUCUGCAGGAAAACUAAAAACUGAGCUGACAAACGUUAGGGAUGAAUUUAAAUGUCAGAGUCAGACUGUGGAUCUGCACGUGUGCAAGAUGCACACGCAUAACUACUUCCUGUGUACUGGGUAAACACCCUCAUUCGUUUCAAUAAAACCUAUUUUACCUAUGGAAGAACUAAUUCCACUAAAAUGUAGACUAUGUUUUUCCCACUUCUAUCAUUAUGUAAUGGUGAGUCCAUAAUGAAUAGAAGUGAAAGAAUUGCUGAAGAAUGAGUAAGUCAAACAUUGUGGUGCUCCUCCCUCUGUUAUUCGUUGCCUCAUUUCCUUUCGUUCCCACUUCCUUCCAACAUGGGACACCUUAAUUCUGGCAUAUCCAUAAAUGGCUUUGACUUGAGAGAAUGGCUGAUAUAAAUACACUGCAAAUGAUGAAGUAAAUACAAGCUAUUGGUUAAGCCAUGGUAUAUUAUAGAAUGUGGAGCCGAAAAUUACGAGAUUGAGAUGCAUUAGGUAUUAAAUCUGAAGAGUGUAGAGACGAGAUACGGAUGACCUAACGAGGAUGUCUGGAGUUUGAGUGGGUGAGAUUGUAAUUCCUUGGAUUGAUUAUAGGAAUUGUGGUAAAUGAGAUCUCACAUUGCCUCUAAAGAAGAAUUUGUUAUGGAGUGGUGUUUUAUAUGCAAGAAGCAUGGAGAAUCUGUGGAUCAUUUACUUUUACAUUGUGAGGUGGCAAAGGCUUUGUGGGAUGGAGUUUUUAAUAGAAUUGGGUUGGCUUGGGUGAUGCUUUUGAGAGUGGUGGAUCUUCUUGCGUGUUGGAACGAGCUAUAUUGCUCUCAAAUGGUUGCAGUGUGGAAGAUGGUUCCUUUAUAUCUAAUGUGGUGCAUUUAGUUGGAAAUAAACGAGCGGUGUUUUAAUGAUAAGGAUCGCAUCUUGGAGGAAA